rnacentral:lncRNA from 1 species
UGUUCACUAUUUGUAAAUGUUUGAAAGCUAUUUAGAUAGUAUGUAUACAAAUAUUCACUUACACCUUCAAUUACUUUGAAAGCUAUUUGGAUCGUUUCAAUCAUUUUAGAACAAAACUGCAAUCGUGGUAGCUCCAUUAGAACCCAUAUGAUUGAAUUCCCAGCUGCCAAAGUUGGUCUUCUAGUAGGAAUAGAAGCUUUCAAUGUAUGCUAUUUUACGCCACUUGUGCAUGAGGUUUAUGAAGUGCCAAUCUACUGGAUUCUUCAAGUCCCUGACUGCAACUUGUAUUUUAAUUUUUGUUUGUUAUAUUCCUUGAGUUUGCUGAUUACUUCAUGGAUUGUUGUUCAUUAUGAGUUGAAGAAAUAUGUUGCUUGCUUGAGAAACUUCGUGUUAGGUUUAAUAUAUUUGAUAGUUAGCGUUUUUCGUUGGUUCUUCAAUUGUGAUUUGGUUUUUUUAAGAUUGGAAUUGGGUUCUUUAUUCUUUGAUUGUCACUUGUAUGUUAAAAUGUUUAAGGACUACCACACAAAUUUAAUGAUGUGUACUGCAAAACAGGGUGUUGCUGGUAUGUUUGCUAAUAUGUUUCAUUAUUGUUCUAUGUGCUUAGGUUGGAUUUACUUGUUUAAUGGAAGUUAUGUUCCAAAUUUGAACCCUAUCAGAGGAAGUGCUAGGUUCAAUAGCCAAUAUCCAACACUAUAAUUUUAUUCAAAUGAAUAUUUAUUCACAUUUAUGAUUUAUCUAAUAAUGUCAUAGAAAAUAUGGACCAGAUUCAUGCCUUCUGCAAUUUGUGUCGACUUCUUGUACUUGAAAUAACAUUAGUUGAUUUUUUUUGAAAAUAUUUUUAGUUUAUAGUUAUGUUAUCUUAAUUCCCCAAGUCUCUAUGCAACUUGAAUUUGUUGAGGUUAAACUUAACAUUUAGAUUUAAUGAAGAAGACUUAAGAAAUGGUAAUUAUAUGAUUAGGUGCUGGAUACUAACACUUCAUACUUCACACAUUAUCUUGGAAAAACAUAGAUCAUUUCCCUUUUCUUAUCUCUUCCUUUUGUGGGAGAUUUUUGGAUUCUUUUGAUAUAAUUCCAUUUGCUAUUUGCUAUUCUAACCUGAGUUGAUAAUUGCUAUUCUACUAAUUUCUAUUCUAACCUGAGUUACUAAUUGAUAUUCUGCUAACUCACCUUUGUCGUCUAAUUGGAAAUUACUAGUUUUUUUUUUGGUGGAGGUAGUGCUUCAUAGUUUUUUCCCUGUGUUGGUAAAGAAACUUCAUAUAUUUUGCCAUGUAUGCUUUGUUUAUGUUGCAUUUUUUAGAUGAUUAUAUGUGUUCAUGACAUGUGCUAAUUUUGUGCUUCUGAACUGGAUGUUUGGAGUCUUAUGUUUAUGCUUUUGUUCGAAGAACUUUGAAUUGGCAUGGUUGUAUGUUUUAUAUGAACAUGAGUGGUCCUUGAGUGAGUUGCUUAGAGUUAUGAAUGGGAAGUUGACAUGACCUAAAUCAUCUCAAAUCAAAUUUAAGAUAUCCUUCAUUUAAAGAAGAACCAACCACUUGCAUUCCUAGGAUUAAUCAUGAAGUUAUUCAAGUGUUUCAAAGUCUUAAUGACUGAUUUUUCUCUGUCCCAUUUAAUGACUGAUUUUUCUCUGUCCCAUUCAUCCAAAAAUAGAUGAUGAAUUCAUGGAUAUGUAUUAUCAGAAAACAAGAAAGUGCAAGGAUACGCACACCGCAUAUGGACCUUUGGGUUUUUUUUCUAUGUCUGAUGUGCCAUUGGGUUUUGGGGUAGCUGCUAAGUCUAAACGGGAUUGUAGGAAGUUGAUCCUAAUGGAAUUGUUUUGGGAGUUUUAAUGUUGUCUGGUAACUGUUUGUGUUUAUGCAAGUGUUUUUGUAUUUUAAUAUGCGGGUGUUUGUGUUAUGGUUAUAACUUAGACUUUUACCUAAUUAUACUAUUUAACAGAAGGUUGUUUUACUUUCUAUAUAUUUUGCAUGUGUUGUUUUUGCAUUUGAAUUUGGUUUGUAUUAUCUGAUUUCUUUGGUGAUUGAAUUUCAUUACGUGACUAAGAAUCUGAGUGUAAUUUUAAUGUCUUGGUUCAUGAAUGAUUGUUUCAAAUUGUGAUUGUUCUGUGGAGUACUUGGUUCAUCCUAUACUUUUUUAAUAGUUUAAGUUUUAAGUCGUGUUUUUCGAAAAAGAAUUCUUGAUGCAAUGUUUGUUUGAUCAAGUUGUCAAGGACAUACGGCAUAUUAGUAAAAUGUUUGAGUUGUUCAUAUUGUACUGAUUAUCAUCUUGUGUUGUACAUGAUGAUUAUGUGAACCGUUUGACACAAGCCACACAAAAUGAUAAAAAUGUGG